GCUAGCAUGGUAUAAUGGUUUGAAUGCUGGACCAGAACUCCAGAAACCAGGGUUCGAAUCCUUGCUCAGCC